GGGUACCAGUGCGGUGCAACUCGUUCUGCCCUCCCACCCAAAAAGCCAAAAAUAUUUUCUCCUCUUAACCUUCCUCCGUCGUUUUCCGUCCGGCUCUCCGACGAUUUUACCCUAUUUUACCCCUCCCUCUCCUCUUCCUAUCCCCAUAUUACCCAAAAAAAAUUCACAAAUUUUACACCUUUGAGGUCUUAGAUUGUAAUUUCAGAUUUCAGUUUAGGAUCAGGGACUGUUAGCCACUGCCGUCUCUGUGUGUGUUUUCUUGUUCUCUCAGGGUUUAUUUUCACAUAACAAGAGGAGAGCAGAAAAAACACAUUUUUUU
rnacentral:misc_RNA from 1 species